GCCCGGGUGGUCUAGUGGUAUGAUUCUCGCUUAGGGUUUCAACCCAAGCAUAUCUGCGAGAGGUCCCGCGUUCGAUCCGCGGCUCGGGCC
rnacentral:tRNA from 1 species